AAGUAGGUGUUAAUUUACAAUACCAUGGUUAAUAUUUAACACCCUGUCUGGAUAUUGAUAUGACUAAUCUUUGCAAUAGGUGCAAUAUUCUCUAAAAACAUUCAGCUGGUGGAAUUAACAUACUGUCUAUUACAAUCAAAGAAACUGCAUAAGUUUGAAGUUGCAAGUUUAGCAAACCUUUGUCCAGAAAGCGCCAGAAGAAGCCAAGGCCUUAAUACCAUCGUUAGAAGGCAGAUUUGAGGAUGAAGAACUAAGAAUUUUACUAGAUGAUAUACAAACAAAAGCGUAGUUUACAAUAUUAAAAUCCUUUACAGACAUAUUUACUACUUAAUCCUUGUAAAAUUUUAUGACUGAAUAAAAUGUAUUUAAAACUCACAAAAAGUAUAUUCAUCUAUC